rnacentral:lncRNA from 1 species
GAGUGGUGGGCAGGUUUAGUCAGCCAGGGAGCUUCUGGGUGGUUCUCCUGAGCAGCUGCAACUCCAGGAGCUCUCUGCACCUGCCGGCCAGAACCUUCCAGGUGCAGGUGCACAGGCCGCACCAAAGCUCCCCGGCUCCCGAAACCUGUCCCCCACCCCCCCCACCCCUGCCAACCUGGAGUGGCCACUCUUCCUUUGCCUCGCCUUGCCCUGUGUGUUGGGGGGCCGAUUUCAGAUUAUACCAGAGAAGCUCUGGAAGUUGCAAAAACGUUUCCACCAACACUGCACACCCAUGUGAAAACCAGAGUACAGGAGAGAAAAGGGAAGAAAAAGAUUCUGGAAGAGGUGGAGGAAAGAAAGAAAUUUCCGUACUUCUAGGACCUGUUCCAGAGUGUUCCAACUCUCAGGGUAAGCUCCAGGAACUUCUCUCUGUGAGAGACUAUUUAUCUAUGAGUAAAUUGUGUAAAUUUUGGCAUUUUGAUUUUGUUGUUCCCACCUUGGCUGUGCAGAGCUCUCUUUAUUUCCUGACUUCCAGCCAUGUUCCAAAUGUCAAAAAAAAAAGUAAAAUAUACAGAAAAGAACAUCUUAGAAGAGCAUCGUGAUGACACGGUGAAAGCUGUUUUUUAGAGAAUUUGAAGGAGCAGGCUGACAGAUCAUAUGAAAUGAUUUGACUGGAAAGAGCAAUUCCCUAUUAAAUUUCCAAAUCCAUAUUUUUUAAUAAAUAGAAAGAUCUGGAAAUGUCAUUUAAUGGAAAACAAACACCAGACUUGGAGCAAAGUACUUUGUUCAAACUAAGGACCUGUCAUGUAUUAGCUGUGUAACUUUAAAUAAGUGAUUUUUCUAUACUAAUUUCUAGUUUCUCAACUAUAAAGUGGGAAUAGGAAUACUUGCUUUACACAUGACAAUGCUGCUGUCAAGAUCAAAAGUAGGAACAUAUUUUCAAAGUGGCUUCUAAACUGUAACAGUAUUAAAAGUAAAUGGUCUAUCUAGCUAACACCAUCUGUCAUGGACAAAAUAUCUAUUUACAAGUUUUCUGUGACUCAAACCUAGCAUAUCCUCCAUAUCCAUGUCCCUAAAUUCCCUGAUGAUAUAAGCACCUAGAGCAGCGGUUCUCAAAUAUUAAUUGACACAAAUCAUGUUAACAUGCAUUAUGAAAUGCAGAUUCAGAUUUGGAGGCCUGGUGACCAAAUGGAGAUUUUCUUAACAAGCUUCCAAAUGAUGCAAACAUAAUCCACCUGGAGGCAGUUUGCAACUGGUCUGGUAUUAUGUUAGAACUGCAAAAUCCUCAACCUUGCCCAGACCUAUAGAAAUAGAAUUGACAUUUAGCAAGAUAACCUGGGAUUUGCAUGCAGCUUAAAGUUUAAGAAGCAUUUUCAUAGUUUAUAAUAGUGACGCUCAAAGUUAGACAUGCAAAUUCUCAAACCCUCCUCCACCUAGACUGCAGAGGUCUCAGAGGGAAAUGAGGAACAGAUUACUAGAAACUGGAAGAAAGGUGAUCCUUCUUAUAGAGUGGCAAAGAAUUUGGCUGAAUUAUGUUCUAGUGUCUUGUGAAUGAUAGAACUUUUGAGCAGUAAAAUUGGACAUUAGUGGAGGAGAUUUCUAAGCAGAGUCUUGAAGGUACAGCUUGGCUCCUCCUUACUGCUUUAAUAAAAUUUGAGCAGAGAAAGAUGAAUUGAAGAAGGAAGUGUUAAAUAUAUAGGAACAAGAACUUGUAGAUUUGAAAUACUCUAAACCUACUCACAUUGCAAAAGAAUGAAAAAGCUUGUUCUGAAGAGAAUGCUAAGGGUAUGGCUGAGCAGCCACUUGAUAAAGAGAUCAUAGAUGUGGCUCAUGGAUUUAAUCAGUCAUCUCAGCAGAAGCCAGGAAUAGAGAUGGGAUUAUGCCAGCAGAGAUACUGCCAGUUUGGACCAAAAGAACAAAGUAGAAUAGAAUGAAGGAAGUCUAUCAUACUUCUGGAAUUCUAUAAGGAUGCAACCCUUGAGCUAUUUGGCUAUAAACAUGCUUUAUCCUUCAAGAAAAGAGAAAAAUGGCGCUAAUGGAGAUUCAGAGAUCGUCAGGGUCACUAACUCAAUUUCAAUAAGUCAGAUGGCCUCUGCCCGAUAUAAAGAUGUGACCCCUGAUUAAGGUCCAGGAGGCAGGGCAUCAAACUAGAGAGGAUUAUUCUCAAGAUUUAAGAUCUAAUAGAAUUUGCCCUGUGAGGUUUUGGACUUGCUUGGGAUUCCUUCCUUCUUUUUCUACUUUUUGGAAUGAGAAUGUCUAUCCUAUGCUUCUCCUGUCACCAUACUUUGGAAGGACAUAACUUGUCUGGUUUCACAGGUUCACAGUGAGAGAGAAGAAUUUUGCCACAGGAUGAAUCAUACCUCACGUCUCACCCAUAUCUGAUUUAGAUGAUAUUUAGGUGAGACUUUAGAAUUUGGAGUUGAUGCUGGAAUGAGUUAAGACUUUGAGGGCUGUUGGGAUGGAAUAAAUAUGUUUUGCAUGUAAUAAAGAUAUGAAUUUGGGGGGUACCAGGGGAAGAAUGCUGUGGACUAAAUUGUGUCCCCCAAAUUCAUUUGUUGAAGUUAGUCAAUGUGACUAUAUUUGGAGAUAGGGUCUUUCAGAGGUGCUUAAGAUUAAAUGAAGUCUUAAGAAAGGGGCCUUAAUCUAAUAGGAUUUGGAGUCAGAGGAAGAGAUUUCCCCCCCACCUACAGGUAUGUGCAACAAGGAAAACCAUGUAAGAACAUGAUGAAAAUUCAGCUAUCUGAAAGCUAGGAAGAGGGCCCUCUCCAGGAAAUGAAUCAGCCAACACCUUGAUCUUGGACUUCCCAGUCUCCAGAAUUGUGAGAGGUAAAUGUCUGUGUUUAAGCCAUGCAGUCUGUGAAAUUUUGUCAUAGCAGCCUGAGCAGACUAAGUCAGCAAUCAGGAGGGAGAUAUGAUGAGGUGUGAAGGAUGAAUAGGAGUUAACUAUGUGAAGGGAAUAGAGGAAGAAGACAGUUCCAGAGGGAGGGAACAGCAUAUGCAGAGGCCUGGAGGUAGGAAGCAGCAAGGCACAUUCUCAGGGGACUAAAAGAAAGAGGAUUUAGCUGGG